CUAAUAACCGCAUACGAUCUGACCUCGGCAUCGAGGAUAGAUGAAAGGUGGCCUCUAUUUAUAAGCUAUCACUGAAGGAGGGGAUUGCGUCUGAUUAGCUAGUUGGAGGGGUAACGGCCCACCAAGGCGAUGAUCAGUAGCCGGUCUGAGAGGAUGAACGGCCACAUUGGGACUGAGACACGGCCCAGACUCCUACGGGAGGCAGCAUG
rnacentral:rRNA from 1 species